AAGGUGCCCGGAAGUUGGGUCUGAAGGUUCACAUCGUGAAUAUCGAUCGUGUUGACACGUGUACUGUGGUAGGUGAGAUUCGUCGGAAUCAGAUAGCGGAGUAGCGGACUGUCGGACGGAGGAACCGGGGACUGAGUUGUGCAGGAUGGCAGUUUCUGGGCACCCAGAACUAGGUUUAGGUGCCCGAAUCUUGGAUUUUUUGCAGAGAAA
rnacentral:lncRNA from 1 species